rnacentral:lncRNA from 1 species
AUGGAACCCAGCUUCACCACUGAGCCCCAUCCCCGGCCCUUUUCAGUUUUGCUUCUGAGGCAGGGUUCCGCUAAGUUGCAGAGGCUGACCUUGACCUUGGGAGCCUCCUGCCUCAGCCUCCCAGGUUACUGGGAUCAUAGACACAAGCUGCUGUGCUUGGUUGACCCCAAAGUUUUAUAACUACCCUGGUUUCCCAGUCUUGUCUGCAGACAAGGAUUUCCAAGGACACUGGAAUGCAGGGAGGAUGGCACCGGGGACCUUUCUCGAAGGCACAACCAGAGGAUGAGCUUCAACACCCAAGACACAAAUGGCGGACCUGUGUCCAUGGAGGACUCUCGCUGAAAGAACGUGGAAGCCGCAGGUGAGAAUGUAAGUGCUCUAAACUGGGCCCAGGGGAGAAGAGGGGGCCGCCCGCGUGGCCAGAGCAGGAGUCCUGGACCCGCAGCCAGCCAUCUCGGGCCUUCCCAUCCCCCCCGCCCUGCGCGAGGGCUUCCAUCACGCAGAUUCUGUUCUUCUCGAGCACUGGGAACUGGGGGGCAGGUUGAGCAGGAAGAGCAAAAAUGGAAAGUGACACAAUCCAUUAGCUGGGAUUGAAUCGUGAACACACCUUCCUUCCAGACGCCACCCAGACUUAUGUACCCAUGACAGGAAGGCUCAGAAGUGCUCCUAGGGGACGGGACGAGGGACAGGUGACGUUCUCUGAGCAGGAAAAGACGCGCAAUACCACCAGAUGGAGGGUAGUUUGCCAGGGCUGCCUUGACCAAGUGCCACCCAGUGGCUUCACAUCCAGACGUAUGUCCUCCGUUCUGGAAGCCACGUCUAAAAUGUGCCCAUCAGCAGGGUCUGUGUCUCCCCAGGUCCCCUCCUGGGCUCCUGCAUUCUGUGUCCUCCAGGGUCCCCCUCUGUGUGUGUCUGUGUCCUGAUCUCUUCUUGCAGAAGGUCAGUGGCACUGGAGUGGGACCUGCCCAUGUGACCUCAUUUACUUUUUUUUUUUUUAAUUAAAGGCAAACAGCUUUAUUAGAGCUGAUGGAGGAACUUUCAUCGUGACAUCAAGGUUAACUCACUACCCAGAUGUUAUACUGCUAGAUUUAUGAACCUAAUAACAUAGCUUCAAAAUAUAAGUUUUAAGUGACAACCCAAAUGGGAAAACGACCUAUCUACAAGCCCAGGGGGUGUAUUCAUUUUCUACCGCUGCUGUAUUAGUAGCUUAAAAUAACUCACUUAUUUAUUGAUUUGUUUGUUGGGUUUCUUGUUUGUUUGAUACAAGGGAUUGAACCCAGGGACACUUAUACCUCUGAGCUACACCUCCAGCCUUUUUUAUUUCAAGACAGGGUCUUGCUAAGUUGCUUAGGGUCUCACUAAGUUCCUAAGGCAGACCUCAAACUGGCAAUCCUCCUGCCUCAGCCUCCUGAGUUGCUGGGAUUACAGGUGUGUACCACCACACCUGGCUGAUUUUUUUGGGGGGGUGGGAUACCAGGGAUUGAACCCAGGGAUACUCAGCUGUCACCAGCUGGAUGGGCUGGUGAGAUUCACUGGGUUCAAAGGAGCUAGCUGAAGCAAUAACUGAGAAAACGGUGAAGAAACCACACAACACAGGAACAUGAGUUUCUAAGGUCGAGGGAGGAACUGCUCAGUGACCCCAAGGGUCAGCUUCAUGCUUGGCAGUGCCGGGAAAGAGAGCACAUGCACCCGGACCCUUUUUAUUUUAUAAGGGACACACACAAGGGAGGCUCCAUGGAACGUUCUUCACCAAAUAAGGCAGGGAAUAGGGUUUCGAAGGUGGAGCCUUGGUUCCUGAUCUCUUGUGGUCAGCAGAUUGAUUGACAUCUGGCAAGUCACACCCAUCUCAGGUGUCGUGUGGGAUCACAGGCAGAGCGAGAGGAGAGGCAUAUUUGAGUGGCACAGCCCAAUCAGCACACAACGCCAGACCAGUCCCCUCAUACGCUCAAAUGCACAUAGUUCACACCCACAGCCCAUGGAUGGCUCCAGACACUCUGCCACCCAGCCACGUCCCCAGCCCUAUUUUGUGUUUUAUUAGAGACAGGGCCUCAUUGAGUUGCUCGCCGUUGCUGAGGCUGGCUUUGAACUCGGAUCCUCCUGCCUGAGCCUCUGAAGCCACUGGGAUUGCAGGCGUGGCCACCGCACUCCAGCCCUGCUGAUUUGUUUCUCAAGUAACUGUGAAGCUAGGGCAGCCCAGAAGAUGUUUCUCAAACAGCUGUCCCAGGCAGGACGCCUGGCCCCUCUCUCCAGCUCGGCUGAGGCUGUAGCAGGGGUUCACUGGAUAUCUGACUGUGUCCCUUGUGGCUGUGAAAGGUCCGUGUGUUUUCUUUUUCCCAACCUUCUCUUCCCUGCUCUUCCUUCCCCUGACCUUCUCCUUCCUGAUCUCACCUCCCUGAUCGCAGUUUCUCUGAAUCUCCUCUAUUAAAGGCCCCUGUUCCUGCUGAUGGGCAGAAUCAUA